GACGAACGCUGGCGGCGUGCUUAACACAUGCAAGUCGAACGAAGUGGCGAACGGGUGAGUAACGCGUAAUCAACCUGCCCUUCAGAGGGUGACAACAGGUGGAAACGACUGCUAAUACCGCAUACUGAAGGAGGAGAUUGCGUCUGAUUAGCUAGUUGGAGGGGUAACGGCCCACCAAGGCGAUGAUCAGUAGCCGGACUGGGAGAAGUAGCGGCGCCAUUGGGACUUAGACACGGUCCAGACUGCUACGGAAGGCAGCAGUGGGGAAUCUUCCGCAAUGGACGAAAGUCUGACGGAGCAACGCGGCGUGAGUGAUGACGGCCUUCGGGUUGUAAAGCUCUGUUAAUCGGGACGCGGUACCGGAAUAGAAAGCCACGGCUAACUACGUGCCAGCAGCCGCGGUAAUUC
rnacentral:rRNA from 1 species